UAAAAGCUACCCUGGGGAUAACAGGCUUAUCUCCCCCAAGAGUCCACAUCGACGGGGAGGUUUGGCACCUCGAUGUCGGCUCAUCACAUCCUGGGGCUGUAGUAGGUCCCAAGGGUUGGGCUGUUCGCCCAUUAAAGUGGUACGCGGGCUGGGUUCAGAACGUCGUGAGACAGUUCGGUCCCUAUCCGUCGCAGGCGUAGGAAAUUUGAGAAGACCUGUCCUUAGUACGAGAGGACCGGGAUGGACGUACCUCUGGUGUACCAGUUGUUCUGCCAAGGGCAUGGCUGGGUAGCUAUGUACGGAAUGGAUAAGCGCUGAAAGCAUCUAAGCGCGAAGCCAACUUCAAGAUAAGA
rnacentral:rRNA from 1 species